AAAGUCGUAACAAGGUUUCCGUAGGUGAACCUGCAGAAAGAUCAUUAUCGUAGGGCUUCGGCCCUCUCGAGAUAGAACCCUUACCUUUUUGAGUACCUUUCGUUUCCUCAGCGGGCUCGCCCGCCAAUAGAGACCACAAUAAACCCUUUGUAAUACCUGUAAUCGUCUGACAAAACAAACAAAAAUUAAAACUUUCAACAACGGAUCUCUUGGUUCUG
rnacentral:misc_RNA from 1 species